ACUGGGUUGGUGUGAAUGCAGUAGAGAGCGACAGGGUGUGUUACUAUUGGUCAAAAACACUGCAGAACAAAGGUCUUGAUUCAACACCCCCUGGGUAAAUAAAGAUAAUAUUAAUACACACUGAUAGAAAACACACUCACAGUGUAAUGGAAACUAUGAGGUCAACUGGAUUAAAGAACAAAGAGGUAGGGCAUUGCAGGGGUGACAUGCUUUUAUGAAUAACAGAAACCUGUUUCAUGUUGUUUACUACAAGGGAACAAUUACAAUCAUUGUCUAACACAUC